GACGAACGCUGGCGGCGUGCUUAACACAUGCAAGUCGAACGGAAAGGCCCUGCUUUUGUGGGGUGCUCGAGUGGCGAACGGGUGAGUAACACGUGAGUAACCUGCCCUUGACUUUGGGAUAACUUCAGGAAACUGGGGCUAAUACCGGAUAGGAGCUCCUGCUGCAUGGUGGGGGUUGGAAAGUUUCGGCGGCUGGGGAUGGACUCGCGGCUUAUCAGCUUGUUGGUGGGGUAGUGGCUUACCAAGGCUUUGACGGGUAGCCGGCCUGAGAGGGUGACCGGCCACAUUGGGACUGAGAUACGGACCAGACUCCUACGGGAGGCAGCAGUGGGGAAUAUUGCACAAUGGGCGGAAGCCUGAUGCAGCAACGCCGCGUGCGGGAUGACGGCCUUCGGGUUGUAAACCGCUUUCGCCUGUGACGAAGCGUGAGUGACGGUAAUGGGUAAAGAAGCACCGGCUAACUACGUG
rnacentral:rRNA from 1 species